rnacentral:rRNA from 1 species
GACGAACCGAGCGAACGUUGUUCGGAAUCACUGGGCGUAAAGGGCUCGUAGGCGGCCAACUAAGUCGGACGUGAAAUCCCCAGGCUCAACCUGGGAACUGCGUCCGAUACUGGAUGGCUUGAAUCCGGGAGAGGGAUGCAGAAUUCCAGGUGUAGCGGUGAAAUGCGUAGAUAUCUGGAGGAAUACCGGUGGCGAAGGCGGCAUCCUGGACCGGCAUUGACGCUGAGGAGCGAAAGCCAGGGGAGCAAACGGG